AAAUUUGACGGCUCUUGUGCCAGUUCAUUUGUUUGGGAAUUGUUGGGGUUGAUUUGGGAGGUAGUUUCCAAUUGCUUGUCAUUUUGAUUUCUGCUCAUUUUUGGUGCUACUUGGUGUGUUCGGAUUUAUUAGGUGCAGUGGGUUGGCCAUUUGAUUUAAUUUUUUUUUUCCUGUACCUGCAGCGGAGGUACUGGUUGUGGUGUUGACUAAAAUUUCUUAUUCCUUUAUGCUUGACUGCCUACUUGAUUCUUGGGUUUUAGUGCUUAAAUUGUUUCUCAAAUUCUAAACGGUGGUUGCUAGAAUUGCCUAUUGCUUGGCCCAAUUGCUAGGUUUGGUCGCAUAAAGUGGGUAAUUGAAUGUCCAAUUGGUGACAUUUGUUGAGUUUCACUUGCUCCAUUUGGUUAAAUUCUUUGCUCUAUUGGGGUCCCUGUUGGUAUCACUUGAGUUCUGCUUUGUUAGUUUCUGUAUCGUGCCCCUUGAUCUUAUUUUGACUGAAUGGGAGACCCAGUGCAUAUUCAUUC
rnacentral:lncRNA from 1 species